GUUACAACAAAGGCAGGCUUGUCUUAUGAGAAUCAAAAUUAUGCUUAAUUGAAUUCUGCUUUGGGAGUUUCUGUCAAUCACACAGCUGUGUGAAUUGGAAAAGACACAUGAUUGCAACUAUGAUUAACUUCUCUGGAGUUGCUCUGAGUACUGUAUAUCACAUUUCAUAAAGAGAUGUAGUAUCUCCAGAAUAAUUGCAUUGUUCUGAAGGGUAUCUUUUGAAUGUCAAAAAUAACUCCAUUUUCUUUGAGGGGACAUAACGGGGAUAAGAGGAAGAGACAUUCUUAAACUGAAGGUUGUGAAGAUUUCUAAAAUAGGGUCAGCUGAAAUAGGGGGUGACUUGACACAUGUAAACAAUUAAGGAAGAAUUAAAGAAGGGUGUGUGUGACAGCAGGAAGGAACUUAGGGCCAUGUGGUGCAAAUUUUCAGAGAGAUGAGUGUUUUGCUUGAGGGCAGAAUGGAUUGUUGCAGGGAUUGACUGUGACACCUGUGUCAAAUGAGAGUGAGGAGAGCAUAGCGAGUUUUAUGGGCAUUCGUAAUGCUCUGAAGAUUACUUGAUUUAACUUUGGAAAAGUCAAGGACACAGUGGCAACUAGAGGGACUGUGACCAGAGUGGUGCAUCUCGGUGUUGUGAUGCAGGGUAGGUGGUACAGUAAUCCAGGUGUGUGUUACAGCUGAUGAAAGAGAUGGCCCAGUCAUCUCCCUCAGAAAGUCAUUCCCUGUGCAUGGCUGGCCUGAGCCAACAUACUGCGUGGCAACGUGCCCAUUGUUUGCUGUGAAUUUAGAACCUGAAGCUAAGGAUGAAAGCCCUUGUCAGCUGUGCAGGUUAGUGAACAGCUUUCGUGCAGACCUCGGGUUCCUUCGUGGAGAAGGAAAGAACACUUGGUCCUGUCACCUUGGUGUGUUUCUGUAUCACUGCUCAUUAUCUGCUGAAGAAGCUGCAAUGAUUUUUUCUCUCACCAGAGGCUUUUGCAGUAGUUUUCCACACACCCCUUUCCUGAAGCCACAGGAAGAACCACUGGUGUAAACACAGGGCUCUGCUCUGUGUAGCAGAGCUAUUGCAGUUUUGCUGUGCAUCUAGAGCUCUUGGCCUGCUGGGGGCAGGGUUUUUCAGCUACAAAGGUCCUCAAGAUAGAAAUGUAGGAGAGUGUUAUGCGUUGGUAACUGUCUCUAGUUCCUGUUGAUCUCCAGCUGCUUUUGGUGAGCUUGGUUCUCUCCCUGAUGACAGAGAAGUUUUAUUUUAUUACUGUAAAGCAAUCAGAGGGAAGGAGUAUGUCAGGUGAAGGGGCAACUGUAGCUAGUCUGGACAUAUCUUCUAGUCUUUUUUCAUUGUGUACAGCAUUGCCUUAACAUUUAAAAUACAGACAAAAAAAAAAGUUGGUAGGUUGUGAUGGUGGAUAACGUACCAUUUACAACCCCCCCCCCUCAAUCCUAAUCCCCAUCAGCCAGUUCUUAAGCCACUGAGCUGCUGGCAGCUGUGGUGUGAGAAAAUGAUACUGUUCAGGGUAGCUCUCUGGCACAGGCUGGGAUGAUAUUGGGGAAGACAUGAAAUUAAAAAGAGCUUGUUUAAAAUUGACUGCUGAUUACUCACUUCCAUAAAUACAUUGGAGCACAAGAAAUUUAUUGCACUUGGACAUAUUUGCAAGCUGCUUUUUGGAAAUGGACACAAAUACACUCUGAAUAAUACAGUUUUGCUGCUUGAUUGGCAGGCAAUCUCUCCAUGGUUCUACUGAAAAGCAACUUAGGCUAGUUUUUUCAGUAGGAUGGAUGUCAGAGCCUCAUUUUCAUUCUUCCUGUGAUGCUUAAGAAAUUUUGGAAAGUAGAAGAGAACAAAAGAGAGUGAUUCUACUGUAAAAUGCAAAGUCCUGGUAUUUUUCAUCAAAUUAGGAGUAUAGAAGGUGUUGGUCUGGAUGUUAAAUCACAGAGCAGACUGAAUUUCCAUAUGCAGUAGGAUGAGUGAAAAGGGUAUAGUAAUAUAGAUUAAAAUGUUCUACAUAAAAACUCCUUCUUGACCGUAGAACUAUUAAAUCAAAGAAGUAGAUAUCUAUAAAAAAAAAAAAAAAGGGCAUAACAUUUCAAAUCCCAUUGUAGAAAACUGUGAGUGGGAGAGUCCAGAGUUCUGAACACAGAUACCAAGAUCUUGGUAACCACAGGGUAAGAAGUCUGUGGUUUUAUUUCCCUCCCCCAAAAAAGUGAUACUGUUCAUGAACAUUCCAACUGAAGUUUGACAACAAGCAGGAAAUUAAACAAGUUAUCUCUGAAUUGUGUGCAAAAUACUCUAAAAUAAAGGAAGAAAACAGAAACCUAAUUACA
rnacentral:lncRNA from 1 species